CGGGACGGGUGAGUAAUGUCUGGGAAACUGCCUGAUGGAGGGGGGUAACUGUUGGAAACGGUAGCUAAUACCGCAUAACGUCGCAAGACCAAAGAGGGGGACCUUCGGGCCUCUUGCCAUCGGAUGUGCCCAGAUGGGAUUAGCUAGUAGGUGGGGUAACGGCUCACCUAGGCGACGAUCCCUAGCUGGUCUGAGAGGAUGACCAGCCACACUGGAACUGAGACACGGUCCAG
rnacentral:rRNA from 1 species